UACGAAGGGGGCUAGCGUUGUUCGGAAUUACUGGGCGUAAAGCGCGCGCAGGCGGCUUCCUAAGUCCGUCGGUGAAAGACCGGGGCUCAACCCCGCGUCAGCCAUGGAUACUGGGAGGCUGGAGACAGGUAGAGGCAAGCGGAAUUCCGGGUGUAGCGGUGGAAUGCGUAGAUAUCCGGAAGAACACCGGAGGCGAAGGCGGCUUGCUGGACCUGGUCUGACGCUGAGGCGCGAAAGCGUGGGGAGCGAACAGG
rnacentral:rRNA from 1 species